rnacentral:rRNA from 1 species
AACGAACGCUGGCGGCAGGCUUAACACAUGCAAGUCGAACGCAUCGCAAGAUGAGUGGCAGACGGGUGAGUAACGCGUGGGAAUCUACCCAGAUCUACGGAACAACUGAGGGAAACUUCAGCUAAUACCGUAUACGCCCUACGGGGGAAAGAUUUAUCGGAUUUGGAUGAGCCCGCGUAAGAUUAGCUAGUUGGUGGGGUAAAGGCCUACC